GGGGACCGGAGUAGGGGCCGGGGUCCCGGAGUCCCAAGGCACGACUUCAGGACAUUUCGAGCUUUCCUGUCCGCUGCCUCUGAACAUUGGAGACUCAGGACCUCCGUGACCGCGGAGUGAUGGGUCACUAAAUCCAGGGCCUGCCUGGUUCCGAGAACACCUCGGUCUGCCGGCCCGAGCCUCUCCAAAGCUGGGGUGACCCGCCUCCUUCGUCAGCUCUUCUUCACUUCAUGGUCCCUGGGUAUUUAAAGCCACCGUGAUGACCUGAUCCGGAUUCCUGUCAUUCUCCCAUGAAUUUACUGUGCUAGCGACUCUCAUUCAUUCAAAGCCCUUUGGUUCGCGCUUGGCUUAGGGAGCUGUCCGAGCUACUGCGUGCCCAAGUCUUCCAAAGCCCCCUCCGCUUCCGCAACACCAGGUUAGAGAGCCCACAGUGUCCGGACGCCCGGACUGCUGCAAGCGAGGAACGCACUGGGACUCAUGCCAGGAGCAGCUGGUUAUGGAAGAAUGACAGAGUUGAAAGGUUUCACCCCAGGCCAGGGGUUCACUGCGUGUAUGCAUUCAAACAAGCACAGGGCCAGAAAUUUUCCUGAGACCGACUGCCUCAUCCCCAACAACUCGGCUGUGAAAACACAUUGUCAGUUUUAGCUGCUUCUCACUGAAGAAACUUCAUGAGAAUAAAGCCUUUGUGGAGCUGCACUGGCGAUUUCUAAAUCCCUGGGAAUCCUCUCAGGUCGAUGGUUUCAGGCUGUUCCCUCUGUAAAUGUAUGCAGUAAGAAUGGAUGUCUCCUUUGCUGAUUGUUCCACAGCAGCAAAAGGAGAAAAAAAAAAAAAAAACACUUUUGGGAAGGGAACUUGGAAGGUAAAGGGAUUUAUUUCUCUGAAGAUCUGGUUUCCACCUUUAAAGGGAUUUUAAUGUCCCUAAACUAG
rnacentral:lncRNA from 1 species